GAUGAACGCUGGCGGCGUGCUUAACACAUGCAAGUCGAACGGGAAACCUUUUAUUGUAUCUUCUGCAGGUUUAGCUGGUUUCUAGUGGCGGACGGGUUAGUAACGCGUGGGUAACCUGCCUUAUACAGGGGGAUAACAACCAGAAAUGAUUGCUAAUACCGCAUAAGGGCACGGGACCGCAUGUUCCGGUGUGAAAAACUCCGGUGGUAUAAGAUGGACCCGCGUUGGCUUUGCUAGUUGGCAGGGUAACGGCCGGCCAAGGCGACGAUCCAUAGCUGGCAGGAGAGGGGGCACGGCCACAAUGGGACUGAGACACGGACCAGACUCCUACGGGAGGGAGGAGAGGGGAAUAUUGCACAAGGGGGGCAAAUCUGAUGCCGCGACGCCGCGGGAAGGAAGAAGUAUCUCGGUAUGUAAAUUUGUAUGAGCAGGGGCGAUAGUGACGGUACCUGACUAAGAAGCCCCGGCUAACUACGUG
rnacentral:rRNA from 1 species